GUGAGGAAUAUUGGACAAUGGGGGCAACCCUGAUCCAGCAAUGCCGCGUGUGUGAAGAAGGUCUUCGGAUUGUAAAGCACUUUCGACGGGGACGAUGAUGACGGUACCCGUAGAAGAAGCCCCGGCUAACUUCGUGCCAGCAGCCGCGGUAAUACGAAGGGGGCUAGCGUUGCUCGGAAUGACUGGGCGUAAAGGGCGUGUAGGCGGUUUACACAGUCAGAUGUGAAAUCCCCGGGCUUAACCUGGGAGCUGCAUUUGAUACGUGUAGACUAGAGUGUGAGAGAGGGUUGUGGAAUUCCCAGUGUAGAGGUGAAAUUCGUAGAUAUUGGGAAGAACACCGGUGGCGAAGGCGGCAACCUGGCUCAUGACUGACGCUGAGGCGCGAAAGCGUGGGGAGCAAACAGGAUUAGAUACCCUGGUAGUCCACGCUGUAAACGAUGUGUGCUAGAUGUUGGGUAACUUUGUUAUUCAGUGUCGCAGUUAACGCGUUAAAGCACA
rnacentral:rRNA from 1 species